GACUACAUGAAGCUGGAAUCGCUAGUAAUCGCGGAUCAGAAUGCCGCGGUGAAUACGUUCCCGGGUCUUGUACACACCGCCCGUCACACCAUGGGAGUCGGAAAUGCCCGAAGUCUGUGACCCAACCGAAAGGAGGGAGCAGCCGAAGGCAGGUCGGAUGACUGGGGUGAAGUCGUAACAAGGUACC
rnacentral:rRNA from 1 species